CUCCACAUGUUAGCUAUCAUUCUUAAUUGUUAAUCGACGUCACUCAAAUAUUUUUAUUUUUUCUUCCUAUCCAAAUUCAUGUUUUUCCGACAACCCCCACCUCCCCACCACCUUUUUGGACUCAAAUUCUCGCUCCAGAUAUAUAUGGAGCUCAUCACUGGGAGCAUGACACCCAAACUGCGAAAGGGCAUACUCAGAAUAGUUGUAAAAGUCCUGAAAUUGAGUUUUUGAGCAUUAUAUGAGAAUUAUAUAGAUACAAAAUAAGCAUUCAUACAAAGAUUUAAGCCCAAAACAAAACCAAAUUUGACUCUAAAAAAUGCAGGAAAUCGCCAUUCUGUAUUUAUAAAAUUCAACAUUUUAAUGAUGAGUAUGCUUUCGGACCCCAUAGCUAUUAAUAGAUAUGCAUUACGUCAUGAGCUCAUAACUCCCCCACAGUCUGCUCUCCUUGUUGAGAUAGGUAGUUCUAAAUUUUUC